AGCUGCGAGUCGAACGGUCUUUUCUAUGGAUUCUUGCUUCCACAGAUAAGAUUGUGGCUAACGGGUGAGAUACACAUGUGUAACCUGCCAUUGAGAUGGGUAUAACAUCCGGAGACGGGUGCUAAUACCGCAUAGUUUUCCUGAUGACCUGAUCGGAAAAGGAAAGACGGGCUUUGUGAUGUCUCUUAUGGAUGGACCCUCGGCGUAUUAGUUAGUUGGUGAGGUAACUGCUCACCAACACCAUGAUACAUAACCGACCUGAGAGGGUGAUCGGCCACAUUGGGACUGAGACACGGCCCAAACUCAUACCGGAGGCAACACUAGGGAAUCGUCCGCAAUGGACAAAAAUCUGACGGACCAGCGCCACGUGAGUGAACAAAGUUUUCAGAUCGGAAAACUCUGUUGACCAAGAACAACAAUUAGGAGAGUAACUGCUCCGGCCUUGACAGUAACUGACCAGAAAGCCACCGCUAACUACGUGCCAGCAACCGCGGUAAUACGUACGUGGCAAGCGUUGACCGGAUUUAUUGGGCGUAAAGCCAGCGUAGGCAGUUCCUUAUGUCAGAUGUGAAAGCCCACGGGUCAACCGUGGAAGGUCAUUGGAAACUGGGGAACUUGAGUGCAGAAGAGGAUACUGGAAUUCCCUGUUGUAGCGGUGAAAUGCGUAGAUAUAUGGGGACACCCGAGUGGAGGAGGGGUCUCUUUUGUGUGUAUGUGACGUUGGGGCUAGAGAGUGGGGAGCGCAAACAGGAUUAUAUACCGUUGUUGUACACGCCGUAAACGAAGAGUUAUGAGUGUUGGAGGGUUUCCACCUUUCGGUGCUGCAGAUAACACAUUAAGCACUCCGCGGGGGGAGUACGGCCGCAAGGAUAAAACUCAAAGGAAUUGGGGGGGACCCGCACGAGCGGUAGAGCGUGUUGUUUAAUUAGAAGCAACGAGAAGCACCUUACCAUGUCUUGACAUCCUUUGACAAUCGUAGAGAUAGGACUUUCCCUUCGGGGACAAAGUGACAGGUGGUGCAUGGUUGUCGUCAGCUUGUGUCGUGAGAUGUUGGGUUAAGUCCCGCAACGAGCGCAACCUAUAGUUUUAUCCUGCAGCAGUUUAGUUCAGCACUCUAGAGUGACGGCUUCGGACAAUCGACAGGGAGGGGGUGAGGAUCUUACAUCAUCAUGCCCAUUUUCACGUGGUCUACACGCUUGUUCAAAUGGUUUUUACAAUGGGCAGCAUGCACGCGAGGUCAAGCGAAUCUCAAGAAGCCAUAUCGAGUUAGGA
rnacentral:rRNA from 1 species